rnacentral:rRNA from 1 species
AAUCAACGCUGGCGGCGUGCCUAACACAUGCAAGUCGAACGCGACUGGGGCUUCGGCCUCAGUUGAGUGGCGAACGGGUGAGUAACACGUGGGUGACCUACCUUCGAAUGGGGGAGUAACGUCCCGAACGGGACGGCUAAUACCGCAUAACAUCCUGCCUUUGUAACAAGGCGGGAGAUCAAAGACCGGGGAGUCGCAAGACCUGGCGUUU